rnacentral:snoRNA from 2 species
UUUGUAAGUGAAAGAUUAAACAGACAGGGACAUCAGAAAUAAUCUGUGUUGACUUUAGUCUUUAAUGGAAAUCUCUCUGAUGCAAU